rnacentral:lncRNA from 1 species
AUGUACUAGAUAAAAAGGAAAAAGGGUUUAUAAAACCCUGACAAGUAGAUCUGAUGGUUAGCUAGUAUGUGGCUGAGUUUAUUCAAUUGUCAAGGUUCACUCCAUUAUGGGUAUCCACAAAAGUUCAGAAGGCCCAAAAGUUCUUAAAGGGUCUUCACUCAGAUAUCUUUGAUGAAGUUGCCAUGUCCAAGCCUAGUUCUUAUGAUAAAGUGCUGGAGAAUGCCCAAUUGGCCGAAGACCUUAUCUCG